GGGCUCAUAGUUCAGAAGGCUAGAACAUCGCAUUCGCAUUGCGAAGGUGGCUGGUUCGAUUCCAGCUGAGUCCA
rfam:Candidate division WS6 bacterium 34_10 MPI_scaffold_5269, whole genome shotgun sequence.